CGCACAUUGCGCCCCGUGGUAUUCCGCGGGGCAUGCCUGUUCGAGCGUCAGUACAACACUCAAGCUUUGCUUGGUCUUGAGCCCCGCCGGCAACGGCAGGCUUUAAAAUCAGUGGCGGCGCCGCCUGGCUCUCAGCGUAGUAAUACACCCCGCUAUGGAGCCCAGGUGGAUGCUUGCCAGCAACCCCCAACUUCUAAGUUUGACCUCGGAUCAGGUAGGGAUACCCGCUGAACUUAA
rnacentral:misc_RNA from 1 species